GCGCGCUCUCUUCUUCAAUCUUAUUCCUGCUGUUCUUCACAGGUUGGAGUCCUCUUGCUCUUCAGACAUUUGCGGGACAUAAGCGGAUUCUGCCGGCGCCUUCGUGGCAGCGGCAGAAGGGGGGGUUCAUCGGGGUGAUGGCGGGACGAUUUUAAUUGGGUCCUGCUCGGCAACUAUUUUUUUUCAAAAAGUGUAAAUUUUUGAGUAUAUAGGUACCACAGUGUGUAAAAAAGGGACAAAUAGUGUAAAGUCGAUCAAGGUGGCGUAGGUUUCAUAUUGACAUUUUUGUUUCUCAAAAAUUCCUGUUGGACAAGAAAGUGAAGUGCGCGCAUUUUCAAGGGGCGCAUGUUUAACGCAUCGCAUUUAUAAAGGGCGAAGUAAUCGUUACCCAGUUUCUGUAUAUUACGAAAUGCCUUCCCCUUGUGAUUCGUGUCCAGACACGUGCGGCGACGAUAAGGGAACGUGCGGAUCUAAUUGCACUUGCGGUGCGGAUUGCAAAUGCGGAAAAGACUCAGGAAAUAACUGUGGCUGCAAGUCGGGCGGAGAUGCUCAAAGUGAAGCUAAGGAGUAAUGUUACGGAAAUUAAGAUGUACUUGAUUUGAUUAAAUAAAAAUUAACUUCCUCUGCA